rnacentral:rRNA from 1 species
CAGCAGCCGCGGUAAUACGAAGGGGGCUAGCGUUGUUCGGAAUCACUGGGCGUAAAGCGCACGUAGGCGGACCUUUAAGUCAGGGGUGAAAUCCCAAGGCUCAACCUUGGAACUGCCUUUGAUACUGGAAGUCUUGAGUUCGGGAGAGGUGAGUGGAACUGCGAGUGUAGAGGUGAAAUUCGUAGAUAUUCGCAAGAACACCAGUGGCGAAGGCGACUCACUGGCCCGAUACUGACGCUGAGGUGCGAAAGCGUGGGGAGCAAACAGGAUUAGAUACCCCUGUAGUCCCUGUCUCUUAUAC